rnacentral:rRNA from 1 species
UACGUAUGGUGCAAGCGUUAUCCGGAUUUACUGGGUGUAAAGGGAGCGUAGACGGCUUUGCAAGCCAGAUGUGAAAGCCCGGGGCUCAACCCCGGGACUGCAUUUGGAACUGUGUGGCUAGAGUGUCGGAGAGGCAGGCGGAAUUCCUAGUGUAGCGGUGAAAUGCGUAGAUAUUAGGAGGAACACCGGUGGCGAAAGCGGCUCUCUGGCCUGUAACUGACACUGAGGCUCGAAAGCGUGGGGAGCAAACAGG